rnacentral:lncRNA from 1 species
ACUCGCCGAGCUGUGAGGGAAUCCGGCCACCCUGCGCUGUCCUGGGCGCCUGAGUGGCGGCGCCCUUGGCCCUGGCAGAGAAGGGCUUGCUUUGUAUGCUCCAGGGACACGUGUCUGAGGCAGCUCAGGCCUCAGCGAGAUCUGCCAUCUGGUUCUCCUGCGGGCUUCUUCCUUUCUUGGGACCUAAGAACCAGCCCGGGCAGGAAAGUGCAAGAGCCCUUCUUUUUCUGCCGGUCCGGACUGUCCCCGCCUCCAGAAAUUGUGGAAAAUGCGCGAUUGUGCAGAGGCUGUAGGGGCUCCGGGCCCUGCCCUGCCCAACCCGGGGACCUUCCGGGCCCUGGAUUCGCUGCUGUGGGUUUCCGGGGGCAGAGACUCACCAGCAGCGCUCAGCCCGCCCCCGACCGGUCACCGUACUGCGCCGGGGAUCCGACCUGCCCAGACGAAGAAAGGACGGAAGCCCUUCUCGCCUACAUGCAGUUCAGAGACGACUUCUCAACCCUAGCUUGCAGAGAAUAGUCUCCUGCCUUGAAUCCUGGAUUUUCCUCAUGCCCAUCAAGGUGUAAGUCUGGGUUCAGCUAACUGAAGGGAAGAAUUACUUUAUUGCUGGGAUACUGGGUAGUUUAUGGGAUCCACAGGAAGGCUGCAGAAUUAAGGAAGAUCUGUUUCAGGAACACAAGGUAUUAAGGCCUGGUUAGGGCACUGCUGCUGGAGUCCUUGUCACUAGAUUCUUGGCAUGAAUAUACUAUGUGCAAUUUUCCCAGUCUCCUUCUAUCCCUACUAACUUUAUUCCCUCAAGAUUCAAAGCUCAUGUGGGAUCAUUUGAUUGGCUAAGCCUAGGACACAAGUCCAGGCACUAGCUGUCAGAGUUGAGGAAGGGACAAACAUAGUCCAUAGGUUUCUAUGGGAAAAACUAGAACUCCUCCACCAAUAUUUACCUUGUUUGGGGAAAGUCUCCCCAGUCAGGAAGACUGUUCAGAUGCUAGGUUGAAAAAAGGAAAAUGAUUGGGGCUGGCCUGGUGGCAUCUGGUUAAGUUCGUGCACUCAGCUUUGGUGGCCCAGGGUUUGCAGGUUUGGAUCCUGGGUGCGGACCUAGCACCGCUCGUCAAGCCAUGCUGUGGUGGUGCCCCACAUAAAGCAGAGGCAGACUGGCACAGAUGUUAUCUCAGUGACAAUCUUCCUCAAGCAAAAAGAGUAAGAUUGACAACAGAUGUUAACUCAGGGCCAAUCUUCCUCACCAAAAUAAUAAUAAUAAUAAAGGAAAAUGAUAAAAUCA